rnacentral:tRNA from 1 species
UGAUACGUAAGCAAGGUAUUUCGGGUCCUUUAUAG